GGCGCGUUGACAGAUCGGUUAUGUAGCGGAUUGCAAAUCCGUAAAGCCCGGUUCAAUUCCGGGAUGCGCCU
rfam:Buchnera aphidicola (Schlechtendalia chinensis) strain SC, complete genome.